rnacentral:sRNA from 1 species
GAAACCUUUUUCUACAAACACCUUGGAUGUUCUUUAAAUAAGAUGAAAAGGCUAUUA